UUCGCAAUGCCCGAAAGGGUGACGAAGCGACGCCGCGUGCGGGAAGAAGGCCUUCGGGUUGUAAACCGCUGUCGGGAGUUAAGAAAUGUAAGGAUGUUAAUAGCAUCUUUGCUUGACUAAGGCUCCAGAGGAAGCCACGGCUAACUCUGUGCCAGCAGCCGCGGUAAUACAGAGGCGGCAAGCGUUGUUCGGAAUUAUUGGGCGUAAAGAGCACGUAGGCGGCCUUGCAAGUCAGUUGUGAAAGCCUUCCGCUUAACGGAAGAACGGCAUCUGAUACUACAGGGCUUGAGUACGGGAGGGGAGAGUGGAACUUCUGGUGGAGCGGUGAAAUGCGUAGAUAUCAGAAGGAACGCCGGCGGCGAAAGCGACUCUCUGGUCCGAAACUGACGCUGAGUGUGCGAAAGCUAGGGGAGCAAACGGGAUUAGAUACCCCGGUAGUCCUAGCCGUAAAC
rnacentral:rRNA from 1 species